rnacentral:lncRNA from 1 species
GCAUAUUGUGCAUGACAAAAGGCGAAUAAUUUGUAAUCCCCAUUUAAAAUAAAAGCAUAAAUACCUACUGUAUUCAGCAGAUCUGAAAUGCUCUACCGGUACAUAUUUAAAAGAAACUCAACAUGUCUAUGUGAAAGACCAAAAYAGUCUGUGUUUUGUUUAUGGAACUUAUUGAAAAAAAGUAAGAUUUAUUGCUCUUUUUGGAUUUUCGUUUAUUCCCACAUCAGUAYUAAUUUGUAAUCAUCAUUGAAAUGUAGCUUGGGAAAUUCACAAGCAAAAAUCUGCAUCCAAAUAAUACUGGGAAGGAGGGAGAACAAUCAACAUUAAGUCUACCAUAUAUGUAAUCCUCCAGGGCAAGGAUGAAUUCUUUUUUGGAGCUGUGUACCUGUUGGGACUGACAUGUUUCAGGUUGCUUUUCUGCUCUUGCUCCUGCAGAAGAAUGGGAGCAACUGGAAACUGUCCUUCAGAGUUAAUCCAAAGCACCUGCAGAGCAGCACAGAAAUGGGAAUGGCUCCAGCAUCACCUCCCUGCCCCACGCGUCUGGGGCGCCUUAGCCCUUUCCCCACCACACUGUGGCUCAUCCUUCCCUGGCAUCAGAUACCACUGAUCCUGGCUUUCCUUGGCCCCUAUUUCUUCCCRAGCACAAGCGGACUCUGCUCACUAGUCCAAAACAGUGCAAUACGUCUCAUAAUUUCUCCCUUAAGAGGUCUAAUCCUUUGGAUUUCAUGAAGGCACUUUUCCUGUUGACUUCAACAGAAGUUGUAUCUGAAGACGAAUGGCAGGAUAAUAUCCAUUUGAAAUAUAAGUGGACAGCAGCAUCAAAUGAGACGGUUGUUGAAAAGGGACUGAAAGGAAAAUGAUGAUGGGGCAAAACUAUUCCUUCAUACCAACACCUUCAACCUUUUCAUUUCAGAGUGUUUGUUAAGUGAUGAAGAGGGUCUCUCUUUGGUUAAUGUAAUUUAAAGAUAAUUCUUUGGAAAGGAGAAGGGAGCCUUUCACAGCUGUAUCAACAAUAUCUUCUCUCUUAAAAAAAAAAAAAAGCAGCUGACUUGACAUGUCAAGCAUCACAUAUUUGGCCAUGAAAGCAGAAUAUAAGCCAUGCUAGCCAAUAGCACAGGCUUGGAGCAAUGCCACUGAAAAGUUGUUCUGUAAACUGAUGCUACCUUAUUUCUUAGACGCUAGGACGGCUUGCUAAGAUUUAAUAGCAAUAUAGAACUACCACAUUCCUGGUUGAUAUUUCUUUUCUUGUUACAUGAGAUCCAUGCAUGAAGUGAAAAAGAGCAAAUGAACCUCAGGUUUACAUCACCACUGAUAUGUGAAUGAUUGAUCACCCAUUAAAUCACAUACAGAGCUGGUAACAGCACACGGGGUAGCGUUAAAGUAAAAUGUUUGAUAUUCUUUACUCUAAUUAAACAUGGAAAGAAUAUGAUGCAAUCUGUAUUGUAAAUGUUAUUGCAAAUUAUAGACCUAAAGGAGAGGUGUUAUGCCACCUUUAUAGCCCCCAGUUCCUGGAGACUGUGACUUAGAGCUGCCUCAGGGCUGCCCUAAAUUACACCAUUUGGUAAUGACUCCCAAAGGGCUGCUAUGCAUCCAGUGGUUGCUGGAGUGUAAAGUACUUUGGCUAUGCCAGCAGCCCAUCAUUUCACAAUGGAGGCUGAGAGCAGCUGGCAUAGUGCUUCGAGGAAAUCCCCAAGUAGUGGUUUAAGACAUUUUUCU